CGCCAGACUCCUACGGGAGGCAGCAGUGGGGAAUAUUGCACAAUGGGGGAAACCCUGAUGCAGCAACGCCGCGUGAGUGAAGAAGUCAUUCGUGAUGUAAAGCUCUAUCAGCAGGGAAGAAAAUGACGGUACCUGCAAAGGAAGCACCGGCUAACUCCGUGCCAGCAGCCGCGGUAAUACGGAGGGUGCGAGCGUUAAUCGGAAUUACUGGGCGUAAAGCGCUCGUAGGCGGUAUGUCAAGUCAAGGGUGAAAUCCCCGCGCUCAACGUGGGAACUGCCUUUGACACUGGCAAACUGGAGUGUGUGAGAGGAUAGUGGAAUUCCAGGUGUAGGAGUGAAAUCCGUAGAUAUCUGGAGGAACAUCAGUGGCGAAGGCGACUAUCUGGCACAUAACUGACGCUGAGGAGCGAAAGCGUGGGUAGCAAACAGGAUUAGAUACCCGAGUAC
rnacentral:rRNA from 1 species